rnacentral:lncRNA from 1 species
GUAUUUUUAAGACAAAUCCCUCUAUUGUUUAUGCGCAUAUACAAGCGCAACAGUACUAUGCCGUCAGCGGUUUAUGACGUCGCGGUUUCCGCGAACUGGAAACGUUUAUUAGAGUUAUUCCUCUUUGAGCCGAUGGAGAGAGUGACAAUCGUUUUGAUAGGUUAAUUUUCCGAGAAAAAAAAAUGAAAAUUGUUUUUAUAUAAUAAACAUGUUCCAGAAUUGGAUAAAAUAUGAGAAUGAAAAGAGAGUCAACUAUACAGCAAUCUAACAACAACAAAUACACAAAAAUGACUGCAAAGAAACGAUACAGAAUCUGGAUACUCGACAGAAAGAUGAGCCAAUCAAAUUAUAAUAUAAUACUUUUUUCCUUAAUUUUCUAUAUGUAUAGACUUUCGUAGGUUCUUAAUUAUAUCGAUAUUUUACAAAUCAUUAAGAAAGUACGAAUAUCAUCAAUCAUUCUGGACAUGUCCUCAAAAUUCAAUGUAUCUUUAGCAAUAGGUACAUUACGUGCCUAUAUAUGGAUAUGGCAAAUUGCACUGACGUAUUUUG